CCUACGGGAGGCUGCAGUGGGGAAUAUUGCACAAUGGGGGAAACCCUGAUGCAGCAACGCCGCGUGAGUGAUGACGGCCUUCGGGUUGUAAAGCUCUGUCUUCAGGGACGAUAAUGACGGUACCUGAGGAGGAAGCCACGGCUAACUACGUGCCAGCAGCCGCGGUAAUACGCAGGUGGCGAGCGUUGUCCGGAUUUACUGGGCGUAAAGGGGGCGUAGGCGGAGUUUUAAGUGAGAUGUGAAAUACUCGGGCUCAACUUGAGUGCUGCAUUUCAAACUGGAAGUCUAGAGUGCAGGAGAGGAGAAUGGAAUUCCUAGUGUAGCGGUGAAAUGCGUAGAGAUUAGGAAGAACACCAGUGGCGAAGGCGAGUCUCUGGACUGUAACUGACGCUGAGGCUCGAAAGCGUGGGGAGCAAACAGGAUUAGAUACCCCAGUAGUC
rnacentral:rRNA from 1 species